rnacentral:rRNA from 1 species
GACGAACGCUGGCGGCGUGCUUAACACAUGCAAGUCGAACGGAAAGGCCCUGCUUUUGUGGGGUGCUCGAGUGGCGAACGGGUGAGUAACACGUGAGUAACCUGCCCUUGACUUUGGGAUAACUUCAGGAAACUGGGGCUAAUACCGGAUAGGAGCUCCUGCUGCAUGGUGGGGGUUGGAAAGUUUCGGCGGUUGGGGAUGGACUCGCGGCUUAUCAGCUUGUUGGUGGGGUAGUGGCCUACCAAGGCUUUGACGGGUAGCCGGCCUGAGAGGGUGACCGGCCACAUUGGGCCUGAGAUACGGCCCAGACUCCUACGGGAGGCAGCAGGGGGGAAUAUUGCACAAUGGGCGGAAGCCUGAUGCAGCAACGCCGCGUGCGGGAUGACGGCCUUCGGGUUGUAAACCGCUUUCGCCUGUGACGAAGCGUGAGUGACGGUAAUGGGUAAAGAAGCACCGGCUAACUACGUG